CGCGGGCCCGGCUGCGGCCCCCACUCUGGCAGGGGGACAGCCCUUGGAAGCAGCAGGUAGUACAUGACCCUCACACCCUCUUCUGCUUCCAAAGGCCCCAUGCAGUUAGCUUGCCAGGCUGUCACAUGGCCUGAAGCCAGGGAGCACUGUUUCUACCAUAGUUUGUGCAAAUGGCGCCCCCAGAGUUGGCUGUGCAUAGCCUCAGCAGCCAUAUCGGAUGUCCUGUUAGGUGCUGUGGUCUCCUGGCCAGCGGUCUAAGCCACCCUGUGGCUCUGGAUUUGAUAAAGAUAUUCUUGUGGCCAUGGGGCUUUGCGGCUGCUAUCUCAGCCUCUGCGCUGCUUGCAGUAGCCACCUUUGGGGAUUUCCACAUCCCGGGGAGACUUCAGGACAAGGAUCAGAACACUUUACAAACUGAGAGGCUCUCUUCCCUUAAGGGAGCCUGAGACUCCAGCAUGUCUCUGAGGCCGUUGGCUGGGAGGGAGCAUCCUACCAGCGGGAGUGUUUGGCCGUGUUGCCCUGAGAGGUGGGAGGCAGAUGAGCCACCCCAGUGUCCACGCUGUGCGGGGGUGUGGCGGCACACCACGAGCACACAUCCUUCAUCUAUAGCCUGGGCCAGAAGCCUGGGGUUGCCCUGCUGCCCCCACCCCUUGCCAUGGAUCAUUCUUGAGAGACCCUGGAGCCAGCCACCUGGCCGUGUCGGUUUCAGUUAGGAGGGGAGACUGCUCGCUCAGGCGGUUCUGUCUGUUAUGAACGUAUGUUAGUGCAGCUGCCUCACCAGUCCUCUGUCAUCUUCCUGUGAGGGUCUGAAUUGAAACUCACAAGUUACCAAGGUCUGAGGAGCUUGUGAAAAGCUGUGCCGCGUUCUCUGGGCCUGCAUGCUGGGCUUUAGUUCUGAACUGUUGUUUCAUUUCUAGCAGUAGACAUCGCUGAUGUCAUGAACUGCAGGAAAGAAGAGCCUUUUAUUAUAAAGCUCAGGGCCCUUUGUGUCUGUACCCGUGGAGGCUUAGCACCCAUAACCAGGUGGUGGUGUGUGAUAUAGAAGAGUGUGAUAUGGAAAGAGACAGGGAGUCUGAGGACACAGUUCUGGUCCCGGCAACAUCAGCUGCUUGCUCUUUAACCUCAGGAAAGGCCCCUAAGCUCUCAGCACCUCAGUGUCCUUUCUGCAAAAUGAAGGCAUUUGACUAGACAGGCUGUGUCUGUCCAAGACUAAUAGGAUGUGGUUUUGUAACUAAUAAGUAAAAUGUUCCCCAAAGCAUCCCAAAGCCUUCAUUAUCUUGCCAUUUCUCAUAGUAAUGUUGCAAAAUGUAGAAGGGGCUGGGCACUAACUGCUGGUUUCCAGCAGAAGAAUGCUGACGCACUGGGAAUUAGGCCCCGUGGAAAGAGUGUCUACUUAUGAGUUACAUGUGCACUCGAACUAAGCCCUGGUCCUGACUCCUGGGGAAGCUCGGACUUGUCAUGUAACCUUUAGGCGCCUUGGUGUGUUUCGGUGGAUUGGCCUCCUACCCCAGUGGGAUGUUGAGAAAGAAUGAACUGAUUUACAUAAUAAUCCUAGCAGAGUUCCUGGCACCUAGUAGGUGCUCAUGAAAUAGGAAACUGAAGACAGUCAUUUUCAGUUUUAAAAAGAAAUCAAACCCUACCAUAAUUACAGCUACUUAAUUUUUUCCAGCUUCUCUUUGUGAGUUUUCUGUAGCCCCAUACAGAUUUACACAUAAUUUUACAUAUUAUCCAAAUGUUAGUCUGUUUGAUUAAAAAUAUGACGUGGCUUUUCAUUUCUGUCUCACUAUUAGAAGAGGAAUUUGUAAAGAGCUUGUCAGGUCUCUGUGCUUUUGCUGACAGCAUCCAGAAGAGGUACAAUCCCCGCCACAUCCCAGCCUUUUUAUUAAAAAGAGGCUACAUGUUUCCACCUCAGGGCCUAUGAAUCAUUCAGGAAAGUAUUUCUCGUUCAUCCCCAAGGGGAACACAUGAGACAAAAGAUCAAAUAGGAAAAUCGCACCAGGAGAGUUUUCUGUUUCACCUUUGGAGCUUUUCAAGACACCUGAGAUGCCUGACACAUGCCAGGCGCUUUCCUUUCUGAAAGGAGUGAGCAGUUGACCUGGCACGAGGGAGCUGGUGAGCGAGACCAGGGCCGUGGUGAGCCCCGCCUGCGGGGUCCAUCAGCAAUGGCUGCGCCUUACGAGGCUCAGAGACAUGAGCUGCUUUGGAGGUCUUGCCAGUAGAGAGGGGUCAUCAUAAUAAACUCUUAAAAGCUCUCUCAGUGGAUCCUGAGACAGUGAAAAGCCAUCCCGAUUGGAGGCAGGUUGAGAAGAGCGGGACUACAGAUUUGUCUUGCAGUCAGAAACUUUGCCCAGUGACUGCUCAGUGUGGCUCCCGAAGGUAGUUCGAACACGCCUUCUUGGUGAUUUUCUAAAUGAUGCACCCAGCCUGUGUUCUCCCCAGCCUGCCCCCAAGAGCCCAGCCCACAGCCAGGGGGAGCCCCAUGCAGCCAAGGGCGCGUCCCCCUCCCACUGGUGCCGCAGGACCCUCUUGUGCCUGUGGAGGGGCAGCCCCUGGACCCCAUAGGCUCUUCAGCCCUGAGAUGUCACACUCCCUCUCUGUCCUCUUCCCUACAAGCUGCACAGGAAAGCUGUGUUUCUGUGGCCUUGGAUAGAGGAAGGGAGGAAGGGGCCUUCGUGUAUACUCUAGAGGCCCAGGAGGAGGUCCCAGAGCCAGGCUGGCCUGGGUUAGAAUCACAGCUCUGGCUCUUAUUCGCUGUGGGGCCUUGGACAGGUUAUUCACCCUCUCGGUGCCUCAUUUUCCUCAGCUAUAUAAAUGGGGAUAAUAUUCGCACCAAUACAUCAUAGAGACAGAUUAAAACCCAAGAACUGACAUCUCUUGCUAAGUCACAAAAGGCUCUGUCUCUGCCCUCACGGAAGGUGGAUUGGUUUGCAAGUCCCUGAGUUAAGAGGAAGGUGCCAGCGGGGAGAGGAGAGGCUGUCUUACCAGGUCAAGCCCCAGGGAGGAGGCAGGGCCCCUGACCUGUGUGGCAGAGGGCAGCGGAAACAGAGCUGAGCGUUGACAGUUGCCUGGCACGCAGGGAGAGUGGCAAGGGGGGCGGCCAGGGAGGCCAGGGUCAGAAGGUCAAGACUAGAAGGAGUUUAAAGAACAGAGCCCUAGGGAGCAUCAAAGAGCCAAACACGGAGGCUCCAAGGGAAGGAGCCAAGCGUGAGGCAGGUCGUGGGUCAUGGGAGAGGAUGGAAAGUGUGCUUGCAGCAGCCCUGAUGCUCAGAGAGGAAGGCAAGGAGCUGGCGGACAAGUAGUCAGUGAGGGCUGUUAAGAAGGAAGCCUCGUCUGUGUCACAGGUGGUGGUCAGGUGGCUGCUGUGACGGCAGAGGACAGUUAUGCCAGGAGUUGUAAGUGGCAGCAGAUGCCAGAUCACUAGCUGGCAGGAGGGCUCCGGCUUAAGCAGAAAUGCAAGCCUGUUAGUAUUGUUAAAAAGCAAGAGUGACUUUAGUAUUCAUGAACGGUAAAUCGGAGGACAGACUUGACAAGAGAAAUGUAAAUUCAACCCCAGAGGAAUCGUACGAUCUUCUAAUAACUUAGCCUUCAUGUUUGUGUUUAAAUUCAUGUGUAGUGAGAAGGGAGCAGAGAAAUCAUGUGUUUAUCAGCAAUAAUGAGUUAGCACAGGACAAGGGAGGCAGAGAUUGCUGAGGAUGGGCAGGUAUUAAGGAAGCAGCAUGCUAGAGGGAUAAGGAGUUACCAAGUAAUGUUGUUGACAAGGGGAGGAAUUCAUAGACUGACCAGACUUUUUCCAGAAAAUCUAAAGGCAUAUUUUUAUAUUAUUUUUGCAUAGUGUAUAAAUUUACAUUUAUUCGUGUGCUAUGUUAAAAAGCCUUUAGCUCCCAGUAUGCAAAAUGAAUUAACGAAGCAUAGAGCAACUUUUUCCAAAGCAGUUAUUCCAUGUUCUGGGGUGGGGAGAGGAGAGAAGCGUGGCUCAUGGUGGACUGAGGAGCAGAGAACCAGCAUCCCUGGACGGUCAUUCCCAGGCCAAGGACAAAAUCACCAGGACAGGGACAGGCUGUGCAAACAGGGACAUCUGGUUGCCCUCUGAUAAUGUCAGCCUAAGCUUUCAAGGGCAAGUGUGAGAUUGGAAAGUAAGAAGGGAACAAGGGCUUUUAGGAGAGAAAAGAACAUGGAAGGGAGCCAAGGAGGUUGUGUGGAGGGGAGCUGAUAAGACCGGGAUGGGAAGUGUUGCUGGGGAACAAAUGCGUGCUGGAGAAUAUUAGCAGGAGGCUCGGGUCCGCCUCCAGUCCCUUUGACAGGUUGAGAAAAGGUGUGAAGCAGAAGCAGAUGGCGGGGGUCAGCCAGGGCUUGGUGGAGUGGACAGCAAGUGGAGUGAAGUGGGGUGAGGCAGCUUUGGAGAGGCCUAUGAGCCAGAGAGGAACCGUGAGCCAGAGAGGGACCGUGAGCCGGAGAGGGACCGUGAGCCGGAGAGGGACCGUGAGCCGGAGAGGGACCGUGAGCCGGAGAGGGACCGUGAGCCGGAGAGGGACCGUGAGCAGGAGAGGAACCGUGAGCCGGAGAGGGACCGUGAGCAGGAGAGGGACCGUGAGCCGGAGAGGGACCGUGAGCAGGAGAGGGACCGUGAGCCGGAGAGGGACCGUGAGCAGGAGAGGGACCGUGAGCCGGAGAGGGACCGUGAGCCGGAGAGGGACCGUGAGCAGGAGAGGGACCGUGAGCCGGAGAGGGACCGUGAGCCGGAGAGGGACCGUGAGCAGGAGAGGGACCGUGAGUCAGAGAGGGAUCGUGAGCCAGAGAGGGACCGUGAGCCGGAGAGGGACCGUGAGCCGGAGAGGGACCGUGAGCCAGAGAGGGAGUGUGCACUGAGAACCAUGGAAAGGGCAUCAGGGGACAGCAGUGAGAUGGAGCCCCCACCCCGCAGGGGGAAGGGGGAGAACUGCUGCAUCCACCUGCAGACUGAGCGUUCCCCAGGCCUAGGACAGAGGCCAUGAUAUUUCACAGCCGAUGCUGAGAAGUGAUGAAAUCUAGAUUAAAAGCAGGAAGGGGCCAUCCCCUUAAAUGAAGUUUCCAAGACAAGGCUGAGGGCCUGGAAAGGUACAGAAAGCCAUCAGCCCUCUGUGAGAAGAUAGCAGAGGCGCUGUGUUUCACGCACCCCCCCCCCCCCCCCUGCCCCCUCCCCAAGGAAAUAGUGAUAAAAGACCACUGUGAAGCCCACCAAGCAGAAGGUGAAAGUGAUGGGGAGGAGAGACGGGCAGUGGCUAGGGGCUGGGCCGAGGCAGUUGGCCCAAAGAGUGUGCUGGGGGCCAUGUGCCUCAUCUGGAGGGGUCCUAGGGGUGGUGGGUUGGAGUGGAGUGGAAUGUGGGAAGCAUUUGGCAGGGAGCUUGGAUCAGGAGUGCUGCUUGGCGGAAAAACACAUUUUUCAGGUUACCAUAAGGGGUCAAUCUAAUAAUAGAACAGGCUUUUUGUUCCGGGCAUGGUGGGCCCAAAAGUGCUCAUUUGUCUUCUGUGGACGGAUUGUGAGACAAGAAAACCUCUCAGUUCAAUCAAGAUGGUUGCGGGCUAAAGGUUUCAUAUACAGGCUGCCUUUGAGGAGUUCCUCUAUGAUCUUCUGUUUUCUGAAACAUCAGAAAUCUGGAAUAACAUCAAAUAUAAAAACUUGAGGAGUGGUGCUGCCGUUCUAUUUCAAGGGACUACAUUAGUAGCAGAAGACUUGCAGAGAUUGGCUGAGCUGUUUGAAAACUGCAUUUUCUUAUGAAAUACCCGAAGGCACAGCAGAUUGAUGCUCCAAAGGCUGACUAAUGGCACUGCUGACUAACGACACCACUCUGAGAAGGCGGCUCUUCUGAAGUUCAAAGAGGGACCUGAAGUCGGAACUUUCUUUAAACUGUCUUCCGGCUUACAUGCUUGUUUACUGUGUGGAAACAUCUCUUCCAUUGCGCGUGAUGAGCUGGAAGACAUGGCAGAGAGGGAAAGAGGUGAGCUUCGGCUUGCCUGGCACUGCUGAAUUAUAAAACACUGGUGUUUUUCUCUCUCUCCCAUAUUUUAAAUUGUCCAUCUGUUCAUUGAGAUUUGGGGAAAAUUGCUGUCUCCUAUUUUCUUAUCUUAGUUAGCACCAUGUUUUCCAGUUUGUGCCCCUGCGGGAGGAGAGAUUCAGCAUGAAGGUGAUGAACUUCCCAGGGCUCCUCCGGAGACUGGCGCUCAGUGCCUGUGUGUCUGUGCAGUUUAUCCAUCAGCCUAGUGAGGGCCACCCAGGAUCCAGACAGGCCGGACAGGCUCACGCGUCAGCACAUCUGCAGUUUUCCCUUGGAGAAACGUCUUCAAGAGACAUCUUUUGAUCCCUUCUGUUCCUCUGGAUAAGGCCCAGGCACAAUUAAACUGAUGAAAUAGACUUGAAAUACCCUUCCCCUUUCAAAUGGCCAUCUUUAGAGGUGGAUCUCUUUCAUCCGAAGUAUCAGUUUUCUUUCCAUACCUAGAAAGAAUCACUGGCAGGAAACAAAACUUCAUGAGUCUAGUGAGAAGGCCCUUUCAUCUGUUCAUUGUAUCUUGUUUUCUUUCAUAAUUAAAAAAAUGCUUUCCAAA